AACGAACGCUGGCGGCAGGCUUAACACAUGCAAGUCGAACGAGAUCUUCGGAUCUAGUGGCACACGGGUGAGGAACACGUGGGAACAUCCCUUUCAGUUCGGAAUAACGUUGGGAAACUAACGCUAAUACCGGAUACGUCCUUCGGGAGAAAGAUUUAUCGCUGAAAGAUUGGCCCGCGUCUGAUUAGCUAGUUGGUGAGGUAAUGGCUCACCAAGGCUACGAUCAGUAGCUGAUCUGAGAGGAUGAUCAGCCACAUUGGGACUGAGACACGGCCCAAACUCCUACGGGAGGCAGCAGUGGGGAAUAUUGGACAAUGGGCGCAAGCCUGAUCCAGCCAUGCCGCGUGAGUGAUGACGGCCUUCGGGUUGUAAAGAUCUUUCAGUGGGGAAGAUAAUGACUGUACCCACAGAAGAAGCCCCGGCUAACUCCGUGCCAGCCGCCGCCGUAA
rnacentral:rRNA from 1 species